UAAUAAGUGUUUUAUGGCACUUUUUAAAUCCAUAUCCACCUUGUGUGCAAUGUCAGUCGAUCUUCUUCAUGGAGAUCGACCAAACAUCAACCUUUAUCUUUUAACUCUUGGUCUGAAAAAUAUUAUGAAUAAACAAUUCAAAAUA
rnacentral:misc_RNA from 1 species